CGCGGACGUCGGUCCCCAGGAGGGGCCGGGCCCGGUGGCUGUGCCCGCCGCGUCCCCCGGGCGCGCAGCAGGUGCACCGGCCCCCGCCUCCCCGGGACCCCGCGCGGCGCCGGAAGCGGCCGGGCCGGCCCCCUCCCCGCGGAGCCCGCCGCCUUAUCUCGGCGCCCGGGGCGGCGGGAGGAGGCGGGAGCGGCAGGGACGCGGCGGCAUGGGCCGGGGCCCCCGGGGUGCAGGCCGCCCGCCCCGCCGCCUGCUGCCGCUCGUGCUGCUGCUCGGCCUGGCGCGGGGCGCGGGCGGAGCGCGGGGCGCCCACGAUGUCUGUGCCACUUGCCAUGAACAUGCUACCUGCAAGCAGAUGGAAGGCAUGAAGAUGUGUGUUUGCAAAUAUGGAUUUGUGGGCAACGGGAGGACUCACUGUGUUGAUAAAAAUGAGUGCCAGUUUGGAGCCACUGUGGUCUGUGGAAACCACACCUCUUGCCACAACACACUCGGGGGCUUUUACUGCAUUUGCCUCGAAGGAUAUCGAGCCACGAACAACAACAAAACAUUCAUUCCCAAUGAUGGCACCUUUUGCACAGACAUAGAUGAGUGUGAGGUUUCCGGCCUGUGCAGGCAUGGAGGACGGUGUGUGAACACUCAUGGAAGCUUCAAAUGCUACUGUAUGGAUGGAUACCUGCCAAAGAAUGGGCCCGAGCCUUUCCACCCGACCAGAGACGCCACAUCAUGCACAGAAAUAGACUGCGGCACCCCUCCUGAGGUCCCAGAUGGCUUGAUCAUAGGAAAUUAUACUUCUAGGCUUGGCAGCCAGGUUCGUUAUGCUUGCAAAGAAGGAUUUUUCAGUGGUCCAGAAGAUACAGUUUCAAGCUGCACAGCCUCGGGCACAUGGGAGUCCCCAAAAUUAAAUUGUCAAGAAAUCAACUGUGGCCAUCCUCCGGAAGUGCAGCAUGCGGUCCUGGUGGGGAAUCACAGCUCCAGCCUGGGCAGUGUGGCUCACUAUGUCUGUCAAGAGGGUUUUGAGAGCCUGGGAGGAAAGAUCACUUCUGUUUGCACAGAGAAAGGCACUUGGAGAGAAAGUACUUUGACAUGCACAGAAAUAAUUCCAGAAAUUAGUGAUGUAUCGGUGUUUAAUAACACCUGUGUGAAGUGGCAAAUAAACCCAGGAAGCAUCAUCUUCAAGAUUGUCUACGUGAUCUACAUAAAAGGACAACGGUUGCACCCCGUGGAAUCAGUUCAUGAGGAGACAGUCAAUGUGACCGCAGACAGCAGGACCCCAGAAGUGUGCCUCGAUCUGUACCAAGGCACCAACUACACCGUGAGCAUUUCCACCGCCCCUCCCACACGCUCUGUGCCAGCCAUCAUUGGGUUCCAGACAGCUGAAGAUGAUCUCCUAGAAGAUUAUGGAAUUUUCAAUAUUUCAGUAUUCAGUGAAGCUUGUUUGAAACUGAACAGGCACCCCUGGAAAGUUGGAUCAGAACAAAUGUAUCAAUUUACAGUUCUGGGUCAAAGGUGGUAUCUGAGUAAUUUUUAUCAUGCCGCAUCAUUUAACUUCACAACGAGGGAACAAGCUCCAGUGGUGUGUUUAGACCUGUACCCAGCAACUGAUUACACAGUGAAUGUCACUCUCCUGGGAUCUUCUGAGCACCACUCAGUGCAAAUAAUGAUGGCAACCGCACCAGCAGUAAAACAGAUCAUCAGUAACAUUUCAAUAUUUAAUGAAACCUGCUUGAGAUGGAGAAGUACAAAGACAGCUGAUAUAGAGGAGAUGUAUUCAUUCCACAUUCAAGGCCAGAGAUGGUAUCAGAAGGAAUUUGCCCAGGAAAUGACCUUUAAUAUCACUGCCAGCAGCCAGGCUCCUGAGAUGUGCUUGGACCUAUGUCCGGGCACCAACUACAGUGUCAGCAUCCAGGCUUUGUCUUCCGAACGUCCUGUGGUCCUCUUUCUGACAACCCAGAUUUCAGAGCCUCCACUUCCGGAAGUAGACUUUGUCACGGUGCAUGGAGGGCCUCUACCACGGCUGAGACUGAGGAAGGCCAAGGAGAAGAAUGGACCUAUCAGUUCAUAUCAAGUGUUGGUGCUUCCCCUGGCCCUCCAAAGUACAUUUUUUUGUGAUUCUGAAGGGGCCACCUCAUUCUUUAGCAACACUUCUGAUGCUGAGGGAUAUGUGGCUGCAGAACUACUGGCCAAAGAUGUUCCAGAUGAUGCCAUGGAGAUACCUAUUGGAGACAGGCUGUACUAUGGGAAGUACUAUAACGCACCUUUGAGAAAAGGGAAAGAUUACUGCAUUAUAUUACGAAUCACAAGUGAAUGGAAUAAGGUGAGAAGAUGCUCCUGUGCAGUUUGGGCUCAAGUGAAAGGGAGAGGGAAGAGAGCAAGAGAGAGUGUGGGGGGCGACGCAGAGGGAGAGAGAGUCCUAAGCAGACUCCACACCGAGCUGAGAGCCUGAAGUGGGGCUCGAUCCCCUGACCCCAAGAUCACGACCCCAGCCGAAACCAAGAGUCAGAUGCCCAACCUACUGCACCACUCAGGCGCCCCAUGUGUACUUUUAAGAAAAACACCCUCCAUUGUGGAAGAAUAAUACUCUAUACAGCCAAAAGUGGAGCUCGAGUGGAAGACAGCUCGAGGGUGGGUCUGUUAUUGCAUCCAGCUCCAAGACCGGGCUCCCUGGGGACAGUCCAUGCCUCUUGAUCAAAUCCAGGUGGACUUCUCAUGGUCCCUUAGCAGUCUGUGACUGGAUGCAGAAUACUCGUCAUUCUUGCUGCAGCAGAUGGUGGGCGUCGGGCUGGGAUCCAUGGCUGUUGUGAUUAUUCUCGCAUUCCUCUCCUUCUCAGCCGUGUGAUCACAGAUGGGCGCUACGUGAGCAGGAUGCGCUGCUGCUGGGGCAGAUGUUAUGACAGCUUCUCAGGUGCCCGCCUACACAGAGGCCCCACGUGGCUUCCAUCCAGGUGUGCGUGGGUCUGCAACUUUUUCCAUUCCCAGCCUGGCUCCAGUUCUGGAUUCAAGAUGCUGACUAUCCCUGUGGAACCACCCUUCUCAAGAGGAGGAAACUCUGGAAUCGCUGACAUCUUCUCUGCCUGCUACACAAGAAGUUCUGUGUCUGUGUCUGAACUUGGGACCCUUGAGACACAACGUAACAUUGACCCCAGGCUACGGAUCAUAUGGGCGGGAGCUUUGUCUUCCUCUGAGUUGGUCCUGAUUGUCUGCUCUUCUGGACUUUUGAGUGCAAGAGAGUCUCUGCAACUUCCUUUACAGCAUCUCUGAACUAAUUUGGAAUCCAUCCUUUUACGAUGAGCAAUGAAAUGGACUUAAGUUUGAGCUAGAAUUUGUCUUUAGAAAGGAGGUCAUUGAAAAGGAUAGAGAUCAUUGACGUAGGCAACUUGCCCAACGUUUUAGAAGCAACCCCUUUCCUACAAUUAAUUGACAUCCUAACAGAUAGUAUGCUAAGCUGGCCACUCCGGUAAGUUCCCUGCAAUGCCUCUUAGGCAGCAUGGCUUUGAUACGGAUCCUUUGGUCUGACAGGUAUUCAAAAGCCGUAAGUUUUCAUUCCAAUAAAAAUUUUCUGUUAA